rnacentral:rRNA from 1 species
AUUGAACGCUGGCGGCAGGCCUAACACAUGCAAGUCGAACGAGUGGCGGAAGGGUGAGUAAGGUCUGGGAAACGGCCUGAGGGGGGGGGAUAACUACCGGACACGGUAGCUAAUACCGCAUACCAGAAGAUGGGCCCAGAUGGGAGUAGCUAGUUGGUGGGGUAACGGCUCACAAAGGCGACGAUCCCUAGCUGGUCUGAGAGGAUGACCAGCCACACUGGAACUGAGACACGGUCCCUACUCCUACGGGAGGCAGCAGUGGGGAAUAUUGCACAAUGGGCGCAAGCCUGAUGCAGCCAUGCCGCGUGUAUGAAGAAGGCCUUCGGGUUGUAAAGUACUUUCAGCGGGGAGGCGUUACCCGCAGAAGAAGCACCGGCUAACUCCGUGCCAGCAGCCGCGGUAAUUC